rnacentral:rRNA from 1 species
CCUGAUGCAGCCAUGCCGCGUGUGUGAAGAAGGCCUUCGGGUUGUAAAGCACUUUCAGUUGUGAGGAAAAGUUAGUAGUUAAUACCUGCUAGCCGUGACGUUAACAACAGAAGAAGCACCGGCUAACUCCGUGCCAGCAGCCGCGGUAAUACGGAGGGUGCGAGCGUUAAUCGGAAUUACUGGGCGUAAAGCGCACGCAGGCGGUUUGUUAAGCUAGAUGUGAAAGCCCCGGGCUCAACCUGGGAUGGUCAUUUAGAACUGGCAGACUAGAGUCUUGGAGAGGGGAGUGGAAUUCCAGGUGUAGCGGUGAAAUGCGUAGAUAUCUGGAGGAACAUCAGUGGCGAAGGCGACUCCCUGGCCAAAGACUGACGCUCAUGUGCGAAAGUGUGGGUAGCGAACAGGAUUAGAUACCCUGGUAGUCCACACCGUAAACGCUGUCUACUAGCUGUGUGUGUCUUUAAGGCGUGCGUAGCGAAGCUAACGCGCUAAGUAGACCGCCUGG